CACCGGCGGCUCGAGGGGUAACCGCUGUUAUUGGGUCUAAAGGGUGUGUAGCCUGCCGGCUAAGUCUCUUGGGAAAUCUGGCAUCUCAAGUGUCAGGCUGCCAGGGGAUACUGGUCGGCUUGGGACCGUGAGAGGUGAGAGGUACCUCAGGGGUAGGGGUGAAAUCUUGAAAUCCUUGAGGGACCACCAGUGGCGAAGGCGUCUCACCAGAACGGAGCCGACGGCAAGGGACUAAAGCUAGGGGCACGAACCGC
rnacentral:rRNA from 1 species